UACGUAGGGGGCGAGCGUUGUCCGGAGUUACUGGGCGUAAAGCGCUUGUAGGCGGUCCACCAAGUUUGGGGUGACAGUUGCCGACUUAAUCGGCAAAGUGCCUCAAAGACUGGCGGACUUGAGGGCCACAGAGGGACAUGGAACUCCAGGUGUAGUGGUGAAAUGCGUAGAUAUCUGAAGGAACGCCGGUGGCGAAAGCGGUCUGCUGGACCUCUACUGACGCUGAGGCGCGAAAGCCAGGGGAGCGAACGGG
rnacentral:rRNA from 1 species